rnacentral:rRNA from 1 species
UACGUAGGGUGCAAGCGUUGUCCGGAAUUAUUGGGCGUAAAGAGCUUGUAGGCGGUUUGUCGCGUCUGCUGUGAAAUUUCGGGGCUCAACCCCGAACUUGCAGUGGGUACGGGCAGACUAGAGUGUGGUAGGGGAGACUGGAAUUCCUGGUGUAGCGGUGAAAUGCGCAGAUAUCAGGAGGAACACCGGUGGCGAAGGCGGGUCUCUGGGCCGAUACUGACGCUGAGGAGCGAAAGCGUGGGGAGCGAGCAGG